rnacentral:lncRNA from 1 species
UUUUAGAGUGUGGAAUAAUAUCUUACCAAUUUCUUUUUGAAAGAUCUUGCAAAUAUGGGAAGUAGUAGUAGUACUAUAUUCUCAUUUUCAUUGUCAUCAUUAAGAGGAUCUUCUUCUUCUUCUUCUUCUAAGCUUAGGCCAUGGAGAAAAUGUUCCAAGUGCAUUCGGCAACAUAGGACUAGGCUUUACAUUAUUUGGAAAUGCACUCUCUUACUCUUGUGCUGGCACGACUAAUUAGUCGUGUAUGUUUGGUAUCAUAGUGAAUUUGUCAAAAUUAUAGUGUAUCGACUAAUUAAUCGUGUAUGUUUGGUAUCACAGUGAAUUUGUCAAAAUUAUAGUGUAUCAAUGUGAUUUUGCAAUAAUACAAAUUUUUAGUGCUAUUAUAGUCAUGUGUUGAUUAACUAUACUGAAUUAAUUAAAAGCAAUAAUAUUAUUACGUAUAUAGCUAAUAAAUGGUUUAUAUUCUAUGUUAGUGAUUUAGUUCGUGAAGAAAUUAAAUUAGAUUAGAUGAAACA